CAACAAUAUCACGUUGAAACACCGGUUCUCGUACGAUCACCGAAGUUAAGCAACGUCGAAUCCGGUCAGUACCUAGAAGGGUGAUAGCUUGGGCAUACCAGGUGAUGUAAG